GGGCGGUUAGCUCAGUUGGUAGAGCGCGUCGUUGACGUCGAUGAGGUCAGAGGUUCAAAUCCUCUACCGCCCA
rnacentral:tRNA from 1 species